AUUGAACGCUGGCGGCAUGCCUUACACAUGCAAGUCGAACGGUAACGCGGGGCAACCUGGCGACGAGUGGCGAACGGGUGAGUAAUGCAUCGGAGCGUGCCCAGUAGUGGGGGAUAGCCCGGCGAAAGCCGGAUUAAUACCGCAUACGACCUACGGGUGAAAGGGGGGGAUCGCAAGACCUCUCGCUAUUGGAGCGGCCGAUGUCAGAUUAGGUAGUUGGUGGGGUAAAGGCCUACCAAGCCGACGAUCUGUAGCUGGUCUGAGAGGACGACCAGCCACACUGGGACUGAGACACGGCCCAGACUCCUACGGGAGGCAGCAGUGGGGAAUUUUGGACAAUGGGCGCAAGCCUGAUCCAGCCAUGCCGCGUGCGGGAAGAAGGCCUUCGGGUUGUAAACCGCUUUUGUCAGGGAAGAAAUCUUCUGGGUUAAUACCUCGGGAGGAUGACGGUACCUGAAGAAUAAGCACCGGCUAACUACGUGCCAGCAGCCGCUGUAAGAC
rnacentral:rRNA from 1 species